CAGUCGCCGCGGGAAUACGUAGGUCCCGAGCGUUGUCCGGAUUUAUUGGGCGUAAAGCGAGCGCAGGCGGUUAGAUAAGUCUGAAGUUAAAGGCUGGGGCUUAACCAUAGUAUGCUUUGGAAACUGUUUAACUUGAGUGCAGAAGGGGAGAGUGGAGUUCCAUGUGUAGCGGUGAAAUGCGUAGAUAUAUGGAGGAACACCGGUGGCGAAAGCGGCUCUCUGGUCUGUAACUGACGCUGAGGCUCGAAAGCGUGGGGAGCAAACAGGAUUAGAUACCCCCGUAGUCCCUGUCUCUUAUACA
rnacentral:rRNA from 1 species